AGAGGCAAUCCGGAAAACCCGCGA
rnacentral:siRNA from 1 species